rnacentral:rRNA from 1 species
AAUGGGUCAGCGACUUAUAUUCUGUAGCAAGGUUAACCGUAUAGGGGAGCCGGAGGGAAACCGAGUCUUAACCGGGCGUUAAGUUGCAGGGUAUAGACCCGAAACCCGGUGAUCUAGCCAUGGGCAGGUUGAAGGUUGGGUAACACUAACUGGAGGACCGAACCGACUAAUGUUGAAAAAUUAGCGGAUGACCUGUGGCUGGGGGUGAAAGGCCAAUCAAACCGGGAGAUAGCUGGUUCUCCCCGAAAGCUAUUUAGGUAGCGCCUCGUGAAUUCAUCUCCGGGGGUAGAGCACUGUUUCGGCUAGGGGGCCAUCCCGGCUUACCAACCCGAUGCAAACUGCGAAUACCGGAGAAUGUUAUCACGGGAGACACACGGCGGGUGCUAACGUCCGUCGUGAAGAGGGAAACAACCCAGACCGCCAGCUAAGGUCCCAAAGUCAUGGUUAAGUGGGAAACGAUGUGGGAAGGCCCAGACAGCCAGGAUGUUGGCUUAGAAGCAGCCAUCAUUUAAAGAAAGCGUAAUAGCUCACUGGUCGAGUCGGCCUGCGCGGAAGAUGUAACGGGGCUAAACCAUGCACCGAAGCUGCGGCAGCGACACUCAGGUGUUGUUGGGUAGGGGAGCGUUCUGUAAGCCUGCGAAGGUGUGUCGUGAGGCAUGCUGGAGGUAUCAGAAGUGCGAAUGCUGACAUAAGUAACGAUAAAGCGGGUGAAAAGCCCGCUCGCCGGAAGACCAAGGGUUCCUGUCCAACGUUAAUCGGGGCAGGGUGAGUCGACCCCUAAGGCGAGGCCGAAAGGCGUAGUCGAUGGGAAACGGGUUAAUAUUCCCGUACUUGGUGUUACUGCGAAGGGGGGACGGAGAAGGCUAUGUUGGCCGGGCGACGGUUGUCCCGGUUUAAGCGUGUAGGUGUGUGUUCCAGGUAAAUCCGGUUCACUUUAACACUGAGGCGUGAUGACGAGGCACUACGGUGCUGAAGCAACAAAUGCCCUGCUUCCAGGAAAAGCCUCUAAGCAUCAGGUAACAUCAAAUCGUACCCCAAACCGACACAGGUGGUCAGGUAGAGAAUACCAAGGCGCUUGAGAGAACUCGGGUGAAGGAACUAGGCAAAAUGGUGCCGUAACUUCGGGAGAAGGCACGCUGACACGUAGGUGAAGUGAUUUACUCACGGAGCUGAAGUCAGUCGAAGAUACCAGCUGGCUGCAACUGUUUAUUAAAAACACAGCACUGUGCAAACACGAAAGUGGACGUAUACGGUGUGACGCCUGCCCGGUGCCGGAAGGUUAAUUGAUGGGGUCAGCGCAAGCGAAGCUCCUGAUCGAAGCCCCGGUAAACGGCGGCCGUAACUAUAACGGUCCUAAGGUAGCGAAAUUCCUUGUCGGGUAAGUUCCGACCUGCACGAAUGGCGUAAUGAUGGCCAGGCUGUCUCCACCCGAGACUCAGUGAAAUUGAACUCGCUGUGAAGAUGCAGUGUACCCGCGGCAAGACGGAAAGACCCCGUGAACCUUUACUAUAGCUUGACACUGAACAUUGAGCCUUGAUGUGUAGGAUAGGUGGGAGGCUUUGAAGUGUGGACGCCAGUCUGCAUGGAGCCGACCUUGAAAUACCACCCUUUAAUGUUUGAUGUUCUAACGUGGACCCGUAAUCCGGGUUGCGGACAGUGUCUGGUGGGUAGUUUGACUGGGGCGGUCUCCUCCUAAAGAGUAACGGAGGAGCACGAAGGUUGGCUAAUCCUGGUCGGACAUCAGGAGGUUAGUGCAAUGGCAUAAGCCAGCUUGACUGCGAGCGUGACGGCGCGAGCAGGUGCGAAAGCAGGUCAUAGUGAUCCGGUGGUUCUGAAUGGAAGGGCCAUCGCUCAACGGAUAAAAGGUACUCCGGGGAUAACAGGCUGAUACCGCCCAAGAGUUCAUAUCGACGGCGGUGUUUGGCACCUCGAUGUCGGCUCAUCACAUCCUGGGGCUGAAGUAGGUCCCAAGGGUAUGGCUGUUCGCCAUUUAAAGUGGUACGCGAGCUGGGUUUAGAACGUCGUGAGACAGUUCGGUCCCUAUCUGCCGUGGGCGCUGGAGAACUGAGGGGGGCUGCUCCUAGUACGAGAGGACCGGAGUGGACGCAUCACUGGUGUUCGGGUUGUCAUGCCAAUGGCACUGCCCGGUAGCUAAAUGCGGAAGAGAUAAGUGCUGAAAGCAUCUAAGCACGAAACUUGCCCCGA